AUUGAACGCUGGCGGCAUGCCUUACACAUGCAAGUCGAACGGUAACAGGUCUUCGGAUGCUGACGAGUGGCGAACGGGUGAGUAAUACAUCGGAACGUGCCUAGUAGUGGGGGAUAACUACUCGAAAGAGUGGCUAAUACCGCAUGAGAUCUACGGAUGAAAGCAGGGGAUCGCAAGACCUUGUGCUACUAGAGCGGCCGAUGGCAGAUUAGGUAGUUGGUGGGAUAAAAGCUUACCAAGCCGACGAUCUGUAGCUGGUCUGAGAGGACGAUCAGCCACACUGGGACUGAGACACGGCCCAGACUCCUACGGGAGGCAGCAGUGGGGAAUUUUGGACAAUGGGCGAAAGCCUGAUCCAGCGAUGCCGCGUGCAGGAUGAAGGCCUUCGGGUCGUAAACUGCUUUUGUACGGAACGAAAAGCCCCGGGUUAAUACCCUGGGGUCAUGACGGUACCGUAAGAAUAAGCACCGGCUAACUACGUGCCAGCCGCCGCGGUAA
rnacentral:rRNA from 1 species